GUCCUCAGCCAUGCUACCCUGAACAAACCUGAAGCCAUCUGAUCUUGGAAGCUAAGCAGGGUCAGGCCUGGUUAGUACUUGGAUGGGAGACCACCUAGGAAGACCAGGUGCUGUAGGUA
rnacentral:rRNA from 1 species